UUUUGUCAUGAGUUUCUAGCUUUGCUCUAAUGUUUGAAUUAGCUGUGAUGUGCUUUAGUUUGAAGUUCUUAUCACAGCUAUUUUGAUCAUUUUAACAGAGUUUGUUUCGUCUGAAUAUUUG
rnacentral:pre_miRNA from 8 species